rnacentral:rRNA from 1 species
UACGUAGGGUGCGAGCGUUAAUCGGAAUUACUGGGCGUAAAGCGUGCGCAGGCGGUUGUGUAAGACAGGUGUGAAAUCCCCGGGCUUAACCUGGGAACUGCGCUUGUGACUGCACGGCUAGAGUACGGCAGAGGGGGGUGGAAUUCCAGCGUGUAGCAGUGAAAUGCGUAGAUAUGUGGAGGAACACCGAUGGCGAAGGCAGCCUCCUGGGCCAAUACUGACGCUCAUGCACGAAAGCGUGGGGAGCAAACAGG